rnacentral:lncRNA from 1 species
UGUGUUGAAGCGGAUGAUUUAUUUCUUUCUUAGAAGGGAAACAAUUUCCAUGGAGUUGAGAAUCGCAUUGUUUUCCCCAAGUUGGAGAAAGAGCUCAAGCAUCUGCUUUGGGACGGUUUAGACAGAAUCUGAAUUAUAUCCAUUUAUCUAAUAACCCUGGGUUGGAGCAGGCAAUUUUUAACAGCUUCAAGAACCCCAGUGCUAAUGCAUUGAUUUCCCUUUAAUAGAAUGUUGUUGUCGAAGGACAGUGCUCAGUAGAGUCCACCCUUCAAUCUUAACCCAUCUGAAGACUGUUCCUUUCCAGUUGAGCGCCAUUCAUUUCUGGUUGAAUAGGUUAAGCAAAGACAGACCUCGCUGUUCUCAAUUCACUUUAUGAUCCUCCCAUCAUAAAAAAUAAUAUCAGCACCUUGCUUUUCAUGUCAGAGCUGCAUUUGAGCCGCUGUUCCCUGUGCCCAUGAGUAAAUCCCAUAAAAGCCGCCCCUUGUACUGUUGCUCUUUUUCCUUGUGGGUGAUUGAUUGAUGGAUGAGCACUGACACCUCAAUGAAGCUAUUUCGACUGCCAUCUCAAUCCGAUGAUGUGAGGGGUAUAUUUUCUGUCCAUGCCUCAUUACUUCAGAAUGACAUUCCUGGAACUUCAUUUAC